rnacentral:rRNA from 1 species
AUGUUCGUAAAUGGCUCAGAAUGGUCUAAAGAUAAGAAUUAUUGGACUAUUGGAGAUGGGCUCACUUCACUCGUUUGUAUAAGUAUUGUUUUUUCACUAAUGACUACUAUCCCAGAUACGUCGUGGUAUGGAAUUCUUUGGACUACAAGAUCAAACCAAAUAGUAGAACAGGGUCUCAUAAAUAAUGUUCAACAAAUUGGAAUUCAUUUAGAAACCGAUUUUUAUCUUCCGUUUGAACUCAUUUCCAUAAUUCUUCUAGUUUCUUUAAUAGGUGCAAUUACUAUGGCUCGGCAAUAA